CCCUUAGAUGUUCUGGGCCGCACGCGCGCUACAAUGGUUUUCGCAAACGGAUGCAUUCUCGAAGGAGAAUGCCAAUCUUGGAAUCUAUGCCUUGGUCGGGACAGUUGCUUGCAAUUUUUCGACUCGAACCAGGAAUUCCUUGUAAUCGUGAUUCAUCACAUCACGAUGAAUACGUCCCUGCCCUUUGUACACACCGCCCGUCGCUCCUACCGAUCGAAGAGUUAGGUGAAUUGUUUUGAUCGAUAAGAUUUGACUAUGGUCAACUCUCGUUGUGAAAUUCUGUGAAUCUGACUGUUUAGAGGAAGGAAAAGUCGUAACA
rnacentral:rRNA from 1 species